rnacentral:rRNA from 1 species
UACGAAGGGUGCAAGCGUUAAUCGGAAUUACUGGGCGUAAAGCGCGCGUAGGUGGUUCAGUAAGUUGGAUGUGAAAUCCCCGGGCUCAACCUGGGAACUGCAUCCAAAACUGCUGAGCUAGAGUACGGUAGAGGGUGGUGGAAUUUCCUGUGUAGCGGUGAAAUGCGUAGAUAUAGGAAGGAACACCAGUAGCGAAGGCGACCACCUGGACUGAUACUGACACUGAGGUGCGAAAGCGUGGGGAGCAAACAGG